UAUUUAUUUAUUUUCUUUGCUGUAGUUGUUAUCGUUUGGAAACAAAUCGAAGCAAAUAAAAAAAUAUAAAAGGAAAAAAGAAGACGAAGAGUUUUUGAAUUGAGGGAGACUGUGACGACGAAGGCGUCGAAGUAGACCAGAGGAGGAGUAGGAGAGGGUGAAGGAGAAGGUGAAGGAGAAGGCUCGGUCGCUGAUCCGUGCUGCCGUUGAGAUAGACUGUCAUUUGAUGGAUAAGAAAGCACCUAGAAAGGAGUCUCAUGAAGACGUGACCCGGGAGUCGCUCAUUGCUAUCUCUUAUUCUCUGCCUGAUAAGUUUCUUGCUCCAAAACCCUCAUCUGAAAAUUCGAUCAAGGAGAAGUUGGUAGAAGAUUGUGGCAGCAGAGAAAAGUACAGAUCUAAGCUGAUAUCAAUUACCCACCCAGAGGCAACAGGUAUUAUUGCCCAGCAAGGUGCUAAGCAAAAAAUUGAGCGUUAGCCUGGAGGGCUGGUUUUGUGCUUGGUGACUACCUAUAAAUACAUUCUGAUGGUUUGUUGUGGUUCAGAACUAACCUAAUAUUGAUGUAGGGAGUUACUCCUUUGUGCUUGGAGCUUUGUAGACAAAUUUACAAUAAAUGUGUUUUACAUGCGUAAA